UGGGGAAUUUUGGACAAUGGGCGCAAGCCUGAUCCAGCCAUGCCGCGUGCGGGAAGAAGGCCUUCGGGUUGUAAACCGCUUUUGUCAGGGAAGAAAUCUUCUGAGUUAAUACCUCGGGAGGAUGACGGUACCUGAAGAAUAAGCACCGGCUAACUACGUGCCAGCAGCCGCGGUAAUACGUAGGGUGCAAGCGUUAAUCGGAAUUACUGGGCGUAAAGCGUGCGCAGGCGGUUUUGUAAACAGAGGUGAAAUCCCCGGGCUCAACCUGGGAACUGCCUUUGUGACUGCAAGGCUUGAGUGCGGCAGAGGGGGAUGGAAUUCCGCGUGUAGCAUGAAAUGCGUAGAUAUGCGGAGGAACACCGAUGGCGAAGGCAAUCCCCUGGGCCUGCACUGACGCUCAUGCACGAAAAGCGUGGGGAGCAAAACAGGAUUAGAUACCCUGGUAGUCCACGCCCUAAAACGAUGUCAAC
rnacentral:rRNA from 1 species